AGGACGAACGCUGGCGGCGUGCUUAACACAUGCAAGUCGAACGGAAAGGCCCUUUCGGGGGUACUCGAGUGGCGAACGGGUGAGUAACACGUGGGUGAUCUGCCCUGCACUUUGGGAUAAGCCUGGGAAACUGGGUCUAAUACCGAAUACACCUUGCUGGCUGCAUGGCUGGUGGGGAAAGCUUUUGCGGUGUGGGAUGGGCCCGCGGCCUAUCAGCUUGUUGGUGGGGUGAUGGCCUACCAAGGCGACGACGGGUAGCCGGCCUGAGAGGGUGUCCGGCCACACUGGGACUGAGACACGGUCCAGACUCCUACGGGAGGCAGCAGUGGGGAAUCUUGCACAAUGGGCGAAAGCCUGAUGCAGCGACGCCGCGUGGGGAUGAAGCAUUUCGGUGUGUAAACCCCUUUCGACCGGGAAGAAUGCCUCGCAAGAGGACUGACGGUACCGGUAUAAGAAGCCCCGGCUAACUACGUGCCAGCAGCCGCGGUAA
rnacentral:rRNA from 1 species